AUAUUAUCCGUGCUCAUUAUCAAGGUAUAUCGAUACAAUAUUACAAUCAUCGUGAUCAUUAUAAUUUAUAGUUAUUUUGUAUAAAUCUGUUUAUCAGAAGACCAAAAUAACCAAAUAUAUUUUCCAAGUGGCGAUAACGAGUUAUUUGAGUAGUUUUAAUUUACACAGUACCUACACACUACACAGCGACCAUACCUAUGGAGGAAACUUUUCAUAAUGCACAGUAGUCUGUCGAUACAAACCCAGGAAAUGGACCAAUCUGUCCUUGGACAUAUCCAUCAUUUUGAUGGCCUGACCUUCUGAGGAACAUUAAUAUAUCCCCAUCAACAUUUAACGUUUGUACUUGUUGACGAAUACUCUGAGUUUUUAUAAACCUUUACUGUCUUGAAGUAUUGUCUCUAAUCUGUCCGACCUGAGUCAACCAGUAUCCAUCAACAUAUCCAACGAGAAAAGUUCUCAACUGUUCCUCAAUAUCUGGAAACUGUUGAACAUAAUUAAUGAUAGCCCUGAAACCAUCAUUAAUAUCAUGCUGAGGACAAUCAGGAUGGCCUCUGUGUGCAGGGCUACUUUGAAAAAGAUGAUACACACUGUUCAAUUUCCGCUUACUGUAUCUUAUGACUGCCUGUGAAAUAAAGUACAUAUACAUUGGAAGAUUGUAUUGACAAUGAUAUUUAAAGCAUUACAGUUUGAACUGCAUUCAUUAAUGGCAUUUCAAAAUCAGUUAUUAUGCAUAGUUGUUCAUAAUGUAAUGGCAGCAAAUUACGUACAACAUUUAAAAGAGCUUGGUAACUUUCUUGAUUCAUUAAAAUGAGGAAUGCAUAUACCAUUGGGAAUGACUGCAAAGUACAAGUAAAUUCUACUUACUACACUCUUGUACACUAUCUGGAAUGUGACAAAAGCACCCUUUUUAAGUUCUGGUGGACUUUUAGGAACUGUUUUGAAUGUACCAUCAAUCCCAGCUACAACAACAGUGCCCAAUUCUGCUCG